rnacentral:precursor_RNA from 8 species
UGGCCUGCUCCACACAGGCCUGUCUCAUUUUCAGGUGUGGAAACUGAGGCAGGAGGUGGUGAAGUAACUUGCUCAGUUUGCACAGCUGGGAAGUGGAGCAGGGAUUUGAAUCCUGGCGUGC